rnacentral:sRNA from 1 species
GGGAAGUCAGAGUCUAUUUACCCAGUAAAUGUAUGUGAAGAGUGAUCCUAAUAUGAAGUCAGAAACAUGUAACAUUUAGCCAGAGUUGUGUUUUGUUUGUUUUGAUGUAAACAGAUGUUCGCCUAGUUCUUUUUUCUUAAUAUUUUGAAGGCAUUGGAAAUGCCACAGUGAUAUUAUUAACAUGGUCUGUUUUGUAAAUCUGGGGUUAUGGUUUUAUCACCAAUGUAUUUUUGCAGUGAUAAGGUUUUAGCUUUAAUUCCUAUUUGUGAUGCUCUUUUACAAUUUUGUUUGUUGUCUUCUCUUUUCUGUGAUUCAUAUUCAUUAAGUUUUCAUUGCAUUAAUUUUGAUAUCUUUUUUAGGUUUGCAGCUGUCUGUGUACAAAUAACCUCUGUCUUGUUAACUUUACAAACUCUGAUCUAAUUUUUUUCAAAAAGAGACCAGAGGUCAUUAUCAGCUUAAAGGUCAUGGACACUGAUAGAGGUCAGAGGGCCAAUUUGUUUUCUUAAUCUUUUGUUUUUGUACGGACAUAGUGUUUUAAAAACACUUUCUCUUCCUCUUGCACAAAUUAGACGGAAAUGAUAUAGUGUCUUGUAUCGGUUGUUGCUGACAGGUAUUGUCUGCCACUAACACAUGUAACUUUAUAACGCAAUUGAUUUAUGGGACCACAAUAACUAUAUGUCACUGCAUAUUAUAUUGUAUUUAACUGGUGAUUAUACCGAGUCAGAUGUAAUUAUAUCAGUAUGCUUUAAUUUAUAUGAUAAACAUUCUCAAAUU